rnacentral:rRNA from 1 species
AGAUUAAGUUACAAAGGGCGCACGGUGGAUGCCUUGGCACUAGGAGCCGAUGAAGGACGGAACGAACACCGAUAUGCUCCGGGGAGCUGUAAGCAAGCUUGGAUCCGGAGAUUUCCGAAUGGGGAAACCCACUGCCAGUAAUGGGGCAGUAUCCUGUACUGAAUACAUAGGUGCAGGAAGGCAGACCCGGGGAACUGAAACAUCUUAGUACCCGGAGGAAGAGAAAGAAAAUUCGAUUCCCCAAGUAGCGGCGAGCGAAACGGGAAGAGCCCAAACCAGAAGGCUUGCCUUCUGGGGUUGUAGGACACUCUAUACGGAGUUACAAAGGAAUGUGGUAGGCGAAGCGGCCUGGAAAGGCCCGCCAGAGAAGGUAACAGCCCUGUAAUCGACACUUCAUUCCCUCCAGAGUGGAUCCUGAGUACGGCGGGACACGAGGAAUCCCGUCGGAAUCCGGGAGGACCAUCUCCCAAGGCUAAAUACUCCCUAGUGACCGAUAGUGAACCAGUACCGUGAGGGAAAGGUGAAAAGCACCCCGGAAGGGGAGUGAAAUAGAUCCUGAAACCGUGUGCCUACAAGUAGUCAGAGCACUAUAAGUGUGAUGGCGUGCCUUUUGUAGAAUGAACCGGCGAGUUGCGAUUUCAUGCAAGGUUAAGCUGAAGAGGCGGAGCCGCAGCGAAAGCGAGUCUGAAUAGGGCGUAUGAGUAUGAGGUCGCAGACCCGAAACCAGGUGAUCUACCCAUGUCCAGGGUGAAGGUCAGGUAACACUGACUGGAGGCCCGAACCCACGUAUGUUGAAAAAUGCGGGGAUGAGGUGUGGGUAGGGGUGAAAUUCCAAUCGAACCUGGAGAUAGCUGGUUCUCUCCGAAAUAGCUUUAGGGCUAGCCUCAAGGUAAGAGUAUUGGAGGUAGAGCACUGUUUGGACUAGGGGCCCUCAUCGGGUUACCGAAUUCAGACAAACUCCGAAUGCCAGAUACUCAUCCUUGGGAGUCAGACUGCGAGUGAUAAGAUCCGUAGUCGAGAGGGAAACAACCCAGACCGCCAGCUAAGGUCCCCAAGUAUACGUUAAGUGGAAAAGGAUGUGGAGUUGCUUAGACAACCAGGAUGUUGGCUUAGAAGCAGCCACCAUUCAAAGAGUGCGUAAUAGCUCACUGGUCGAGUGACUCUGCGCCGAAAAUGUACCGGGGCUAAACGUAUCACCGAAGCUGCGGAUUGUCUUUUAGACAAUGGUAGGAGAGCGUUCCAAGGGCUGUGAAGUCAUUCCGUAAGGAAUGGUGGAGCGCUUGGAAGUGAGAAUGCCGGUAUGAGUAGCGAAAGAAGGGUGAGAAUCCCUUCCACCGAAUGCCUAAGGUUUCCUGAGGAAGGCUCGUCCGCUCAGGGUUAGUCGGGACCUAAGCCGAGGCCGAAAGGCGUAGGCGAUGGACAACAGGUUGAUAUUCCUGUACCGCCUCGUUUCCGUUUGAGUGAAGGGGGGACGCAGGAGGAUAGGGUAAGCGCGCUGUUGGAUUAGCGCGUCCAAGCAGUUAGGCUGGCAAGUAGGCAAAUCCGCUUGCCAUAAGGCUGAGCUGUGAUGGCGAGGGAAAUUUAGUACCGAAGUUCCUGAUUCCACACUGCCAAGAAAAGCCUCUAGCGAGGAAACAGGCGCCCGUACCGCAAACCGACACAGGUAGGCGAGGAGAGAAUCCUAAGGUGAUCGAGAGAACUCUCGUUAAGGAACUCGGCAAAAUGACCCCGUAACUUCGGGAGAAGGGGUGCUCUUUGGGGUGCAAGCCCUGAGGAGCCGCAGUGAAUAGGCCCAGGCGACUGUUUAGCAAAAACACAGGUCUCUGCGAAGCCGCAAGGCGAAGUAUAGGGGCUGACGCCUGCCCGGUGCUGGAAGGUUAAGAGGAGGGCUUAGCGCAAGCGAAGGUCCGAAUUGAAGCCCCAGUAAACGGCGGCCGUAACUAUAACGGUCCUAAGGUAGCGAAAUUCCUUGUCGGGUAAGUUCCG